rnacentral:misc_RNA from 1 species
AACAAAUUUUAUUAAAUUAAAGUCCCAUUAGUUACCACUCUAAACUCUACCGGCUCUCUUUCAAAGGUUUCCCAUUCUUUUUAGUUUUGGGCUUACAUUCCAAGUUGCUGUAUGGUGAGGCAAUUUGAUACUAGCCUUUUCCUUCUUGAAGAUCGCAACUUCGGAACUACAUAUAUAUGAAAUGUGCAUCCAGACAUGUGUAUUUCUUCGUCUUACCAUGUUAUGCUGCAGCAAAGCUAGUACCUCACACCUCAGAUUACCCCCAGUUAUCUUCCCCACCUGUGUAAAGACUUGAGGA